GCCGCGCGCGGUCGGGCCGGGCCGUGCCCUCGAAGGGCACGAAGGCGGCCGACGCGGCGGCCUCGCGCAGUUCGGCGACGGUGAAGCGGCGCC
rnacentral:tRNA from 1 species